rnacentral:lncRNA from 12 species
ACAGAUCCUGCCUACCUUAUACUCUUAGACUAUCAUGACUUCAGAAAAGAUCUCACAAACAUCUGGGAGCCACUGCUGGCAGGAACGGGUGCUGCUGUGCCCAGAAGUGAUCAGGCAUACCAUGUGCAGUAAGGUGAAUGCUGGAAGUCACCAU